rnacentral:rRNA from 1 species
AUUGAACGCUGGCGGCAGGCCUAACACAUGCAAGUCGAGCGGAUGAAGGGAGCUUGCUCCUGGAUUCAGCGGCGGACGGGUGAGUAAUGCCUAGGUAUCUGCCUGGUAGUGGGGGAUAACGUCCGGAAACGGGCGCUAAUACCGCAUACGUCCUGAGGGAGAAAGUGGGGGAUCUUCGGACCUCACGCUAUCAGAUGAGCCUAGGUCGGAUUAGCUAGUUGGUGGGGUAAAGGCCUACCAAGGCGACGAUCCGUAACUGGUCUGGGAGGAUGAUCAGUCACACUGGAACUGAGACACGGUCCAGACUCCUACGGGAGGCAGCAGUGGGGAAUAUUGGACAAUGGGCGAAAGCCUGAUCCAGCCAUGCCGCGUGUGUGAAGAAGGUCUUCGGAUUGUAGAGCACUUUAAGUUGGGAGGAAGGGCAGUAAGUUAAUACCUUGCUGUUUUGACGUUACCAACAGAAUAAGCACCGGCUAACUUCGCG